UAAAAGAAUUAGGUGUUAGAAAUUAAUGUUAGAUGUUAGAUCAAAUAGAAAUGAUAAAAGAAUAUUUAACAAAAUUCAAUUUCUAAACGAUUAUCAACAAUUAAUUCCAAAACAGUUAAUAAAAUUGAAUUCUAAACAAAAUACCAAAUCAAUUCCAAAAUUGAAUCAUCAAAGCAGUUAACAAAAACAAAUUCUAGAACAAUUACUAAGUCAAUUCUAGAAAUCAAUUCUAAUUAAAUUCUAAACAAAAUUAACUCCUAAAUUCAAUUCUAAACAAUUAACAUUUCUUAAGAUUAAUCCUAAUUAACAACUAAUCCUAAGUCUAAUCCUAAUUAAUCUAAACUAACUAGCUAUAAAGCAAGGUAUAUGAGUUCUGAAAGUGCAGAAUGGGCCUCGGGAACGUUUGGCCCAAACCACGGGGAAGGUACAAGCUGGAAAAACAGGGUGUAUUUGUGAAAUACCACAGGCCCUAUCCAAACCUCUACAAGGCUACUGCAAGCAGGUAACAGAAAUGUGAAAGAAACAGAAAAGCGCUUAUCAAACGUGCUUAUUCACCAAGCCUAUCCACAAGCAGAAACGCAAUUGGUUAAUCACACGGAUUAAGAGCUACCUGUCGAAGGCGACGGUGGAGGCGGCGACGAUGAUGACGAACACACACAGCUUCUGAACGUCUCUCUUCCUCUUCUUACAGUGUUGGAGCGAGCUGCAAGCGUGUGAGCGAUAACGAUCUGCGAGCUUCCGGUGGUGGUGGCGAUGAUGACGGAGAUCACCGGUAUGCUUCCGAUCCACUUUUGAGCGCCUCUCUUUUUCUUCUCUUAAUACCGAGAUGAUCCUUCGGUAUCUGAAGUGUGGGAGAGGUGGUGACCGUCAAACUUUGAGUCUUCCGGUGGUGGUUUAGCUCUGCCGUGUAGAGCUUCGAGUGAUGAAGCUCUCACAACAAUGGAAGAUGAGCGUAUACUGAAGGUGAGAAUUGAGUGCAAAAUGCUUUAGGAAUGAGGGAAGAAUCUUCUGAACCCAAUGAUUGACAAUGAUUACCACUUAUAUAGCACGAUCCAAGGGCAAAUUGGAGAAUUAAGUCUGAAUCAUCCAGCUGGCACUUAAGUGAAUGAGAAGGACUCGUGUUCAGUUUGGUGUAGUGUCAAGGUUAAUGUACAUUGUUUCAACACGAGCAAAUUCAUUGCAAGUCCCUGUUGGUUACCGUCAUUGCUCAAUGCCAAGUCUUAGUGGCUUGAUGCAAGCUUCGCCCUGUCACAGUGUAGGAUUGUUAUGCUGCCAGAUCUGGAACUAGCCUUAGACAGAUGUUGCCAUUCGUGCUGAAGACCAAUUUGCAAGGCCAUGUUUGAGCAUGGUUGCAGGUUUGAUCCCUUUUGCACUGCCUUGGAUUAUAGACUGGUUUGCUGAAUGUUUGGAUACCUUGCCCUGUUUCUGCAGGUUUUGAAGCAUGAUGACAUUGCUCAGUUGCCUUAACAUGUUGCAGAUGGACUUCCUGCUAUCUUGCAUCAAGCUUUUUGUGGAGUAGUUUUCAGGUCUGCAGUAGCAAAGCAUUGCCUUAUGUUUCAUGAAAUUCCAUGACAUGGUUGAUGUGGUUCUGCCGGUAUAACUAAAGGCCCUAUGCAGUCUCACUGUUAUGCAUUCUGCUACAGAUUAAUCAUGGAUGGAUGCUUCUGGUCGAUGCCUUGCUCAUUUGGUUUGUAAUGCUUGCGGACCUGUUUUUGUGUGGGUUAGCAAAAAGGAUUGAUGACAAAAAGGUCUUCUUUUAAGGUCUGUAGCAGGUAACAAUUCUUGUCAUUCUGCACCUGACUGCAGCUUGGUCUUGCACAACAUGUUAGUUCCAUUUGACUAGCCUUGCCAACUGUUAUGGAUGGUGUAGCCAUUGGGAUCACAUUGGUCUCCUUUUGCAGGUAUGAUGAUAGCCCGUUCAAUAAAGUGACCACUGUUGGAUUCACCUGUAAGUGAGAUCCCUGUCCUGAAUGAAGUGCAGGUGCAUCUCCAUGUUUCCUGCGAAGAGCUGAAGAGUUUGCUGCAGAAAGAGGUUGAUUUGGACCUGUUGGAUGUUGCCUCUUAACAUGACCUGAAUUGGAUUCUUUAAUUGCAGGUCCUAUUUCUACUUGACAGUGUGCCAACUGGUUUUCCUUGCAGGAUGAUGGCAGGAUGGUUGUCAGUGAGUCUCAGACCAAACUCAUGAGCAUUCUUUCGUUCAAAUGACCGAUGUAAGUGUAGUAUCAAAUCAUAUGACCGUGAGGCUUGGUUGUGGUGAACGCAAGACCCUGUUAGCAGUGCAGCAUCAUGGUUGGCAAAAGCAAAAGACCAAGUCAUGGCAAGGUACACAUGAAGUUGAAAAUGAGACAAAUUACUUGGACAUGAAAAUACAAAGUCAAACCCAUCAAACAUGACUCUCAGAUGACGAACCAAGGGAAAAGAGCUAGAUUAGGCCUUAGAUGGUUAAAAAUGGAUGAGUUGACUUUGGUCACAGUUGACCAAAAAGUCAACCAUUGACCAAAGUCAACAAUUGGUUAAAGCUUAUAAUUUUUUCUUUGUAUUCCUCAAUGCUUGGACAUUUGUGAUGAACUGUAAAUGACUGUGAAUGAAGGUGAGAUUUUGACUUGA